rnacentral:rRNA from 1 species
AACGAACGCUGGCGGCAGGCCUAACACAUGCAAGUCGAACGUGAAGCCAGAGCUUGCUCUGGUGGAAAGUGGCAGACGGGUGAGUAACGCGUGGGAACCUACCCAGUAGUACGGAACAACAGUUGGAAACGACUGCUAAUACCGUAUACGCCCUUCGGGGGAAAGAUUUAUCGCUAUUGGAGGGGCCCGCGUUGGAUUAGCUUGUUGGUGAGGUAACGGCUCACCAAGGCGACGAUCCAUAGCUGGUCUGAGAGGAUGAUCAGCCACACUGGGACUUAGACACGGCCCAGACUCCUACGGGAGGCAGCAGUGGGGAAUAUUGCACAAUGGGCGCAAGCCUGAUGCAGCCAUGCCGCGUGAGUGAAGAAGGCCCUAGGGUUGUAAAGCUCUUUCGGCGGGGACGAUAAUGACGGUACCCGCAGAAGAAGCCCCGGCUAACUCCGUG